rnacentral:tRNA from 1 species
UUAAAGAUAAGCUAUAUAAGCUAUUGGGCUCAUAACUCAAAUAAGAAAAAAUUCUCUUUAAAC